UACGAGGGGUGCGAGCGUUGCUCGGAAUUAUUGGGCGUAAAGGGUAGGUAGGUGGUCUCGUUUGUCUGGGGUGAAAUCCUUGAGCUUAACUCAAGAAGUGCCCCAGAAACGGCGAGACUAGAGUUCUGGAGAGGGUCGUGGAAUUCCCGGUGUAGCGGUGAAAUGCGUAGAGAUCGGGAGGAACACCAGCGGCGAAGGCGGCGACCUGGACAGAUACUGACACUCAACUACGAAAGCGUGGGGAGCAAACAGG
rnacentral:rRNA from 1 species